rnacentral:lncRNA from 1 species
GAGUGCAGUGGCGCAGUCUUGGCCCACUGCAAGCUCUGCCUCCCAGAUUCAUGCCAUUCUCCUGCCUCAGCCUCCUGAGUAGCUGGGACUACAGGUACCCGCCACCACGCCUGGCUAAUUUUUUGUAUGUUUUUAGUAGUGACAGGGUUUCACCAUGUUAGCCAGGAUGGUCUCAAUCUCCUGAUCUCGUGAUCCACCUGCCUUGGCCUCCCAAAGUGCUGGGAUUACAGGCGUGAGCCACCGUGCCCGGCCUAAAUUUUGUUUUUAAGAGAAGUUACUAUUUAUUCCUAAUUAGAUGGAGGGGAAAGUUUUUGAAGAGGAAUCUUUGCUUUUUACAGGUAUAAUACUCUUGAAUUUAGCUAAUAUGUUUGCAUAGAGACCCUCUUCUGCAAGAUUAACUUCCACAAUUCUUCCACUUCUUCUUCGAACCUUCAGCUUCUUCCUAAUUUAACUCAAAACAAUCUUUAAACCCUAGGUAAAGGUUUACAUUUCCAUGUCUUCUUAUAACUUUUCACCAAAAAACCACAUUUUACUGUUCUUACACACCUUGCUUGUAAAUCUAUUUCUAGUAGUUUCAAUUAACUCCUAGCAAUUUUUAACUUUAAGGUAAAACUUGGUAACUUGCUUUAAUUGUGUGCUAAGUGCAGCCAAGGUUUGACUCCAGCAUAAUUAAGGGCAUAGCUAAUUCCAUGUCCUCAGUCCCUACCAGUUGUGAAGCUGACAAGUCAAAUAGUUCUCAAAACCCCAAAAGCAGUUUGUAACCUCAAAACAGUUAGCAAACCUUGCAUCUGACCUGCAUUUUACCAAUAGUCUUUAGGGCUGUUUUUAUUUCUUAAUGAUUAAAGUCACGUGAACUGAAAGGUACCACAGCUUUUAACUUCCCUUUAAAAAAUAUUAGAUCCAAGUGCUUGUCUUUCUUUAGACUAAAUUAGUUAGAACUCUUUUUCCAGGCAUCACACACAGUACAGGCAAAAGAGAACCCAGUCGCUGGGUGGGAACCUUUAAGAGACAGGGCUAAGAAAACAUGGAGGUAUCAAAUCUGAGAGGGCUGUUCCCCUCAGGCAGGGUUGCUAAACAAAGCCUUGCCAAGCAAUUACCAGCCAUGCCCCCAGGGUGUAAAGCAAGAUGGAAGCUUGCAACAUAAACCAUGCAGACAAGCAAAGCACACCAGAUUGACCACAGCCCAAGACUAGCCCCACAAAUCCUUUUUCACAAUUAAAACUUUACAGAAAAUACAAACAGUUGUAGUUGCAGGGAGCCUGGACUAGUAAAGUGUCUUCUAAAAGAAAAAAAAACUUUAAAGGUUAACUUUUUGACCAGGUAGAUAAGGGGAAAGAAAAAAAAACAGUUUAAAAAUGCCUGGGGAA